UCCCGCUUCUUUACCUCCCAGGGCUACGCCCAGAGUCCAUUCCAGGCUGCGCCGGCGCCCCCACCCACCGCCAAGGCCCCGGUGGCCGAGCCCCUCCAGGGGGACUUGCUCCACGUGCUCGCCGCUGCCCAGGAGUCCCCCGCUGCCGCCGCCGUCGCUGCCGCUCCCCCGGCUCCGGCCGCCGCCUCCACGGUGGACACAGCGGCCCUGAAGCAGCCCCCGGUGCCCCCUUCGUCACCCCCACCCCCGCCUCCGCCGCCACCAUCGCCGCGGCGGCGGCCACCGCCGUCGUAGCCCCAACCUCGACGGUCGCCGUGGCCCCAGUAGCGUCUGUCUUGAAGAAGAAGACAAAGAGCAAGGGGCCCUACAUCUGCGCUCUGUGCGCCAAGGCGUUCAAGAACGGCUGCAACCUCCGGAGGCACGAAGCCAUCCACGCGGGAGCCAAGGCCGGCCGGGUCCCCUCGGAUGCUAUGAAGAUGCCCACCAUGGUGGCCCUGAGCCUCCUGAGCGUGCCCCAGCUGAGCGGAGCCGGCGGGGGAGUGGGAGAAGCGGGUGUCGGCUGCGGCGCGGCCGCAGUGGCUGCCGGCGGCGUGGUGACCACGACCGCCUCGGGGAAGCGCGUCCGAAGAACCACGGCUGAGAGAUGUGCCGCAAGGCCUCCCGCGACGGCCACCACCUGAGCCGACACAAGCUGUCUCACUCGGACGAGAAGCCCUCCCAGUGCCCGGUGUGCCAGCAGCGCAAGGACCGCAUGAGCUACCACGUGCGCUCACUUGACGGCGCUGUACACAAGCCCUGCAGCUGCUCCCACUGUGGCCAGAGCUUCUCCCGGCCGGAUCACCCCAACAGUCACGUCCGACCAGUGCACUCAACAGAACGGCCCUUCAAAUGUGAAAAUGUGAGGCAGCUUUCGCCACGAAGGAUCGGCUGCGGGCGCACAUGGUACGACACGAGGAGAAGGAGCCAUGUCACAUGUGUGGCAAGACGCUGAGCUUGGCUUAUAUUUCGGACCACAUGAAAGUGCACAGCCAGGGCCCUCACCGUGUCUGUGAGCUCUGCAACAAAGGUACUGGUGAGGUUUGUCCAAUGGCGGCGGCAGCAGCAGCUCCUCCCACAUCUGUGGGCUCCCUCUCGGGGUAGAGGGGGUGCCUGUGAGCUCUCAGCCACUUCCCUCCCAGCCGUGGUGAGCUCCGAGUUGGUUGGGGGGAGAGGAGAGAAUGGAGUAGCGUCAGUUGGUACAGGCUCCUCUCCCCCCACUUUUCCCACCAACUCCUCACUGCUUCCCCACCAACCAAGGAGCCUCCGGAGGGAAAGGAGGAAGAAAUGUUUUAGGGGAAUUCGCUAGGUUUUAACGAUUUGUUUCUCCCGCUCCUCUCUUCUAUCAGACCUGACCCCACACAAACCUGUCCCGUCGGUUGUGUCGAAGUCCCCUGGACAGUGGGCAGGGGUGGCAGAGGACAGGAGCAGCCACUGCCCAUACCCCCUCUCCUCUCUGUAAGCCCUUGCCCUGUCCUCCCAGGGACUUAUGAGCCUCUUCCCUCAAUAGUUCUCUCACUCUCCUUCCAAUCCUCUCCCCCUGCUGUCUGUUGCCCCUCCCUGGGGAGUUGGUGCUGUCUUUUCCUUUUUCUUUUUUUCCAGGGGGAGGGAGGAGAGGAAGUAGGGAGAUCAGAGCUUCUGUCCCAGAGAGGGAGAGCCGUGAGGUCUGAGGAGGGGCAGAAGCAGGGCCAGCAAAAGUUGUACCAUCAUAAGGUGGUGGGGGGUUUGGGGUCAGGCCCUGAACAUCGUCCUACUUGAGAAUCUGUCA